rnacentral:misc_RNA from 1 species
GAUGAAGAACGCAGCGAAAUGCGAUAAGUAAUGUGAAUUGCAGAAUUCAGUGAAUCAUCGAAUCUUUGAACGCACAUUGCGCCCCUUGGUAUUCCGAGGGGCAUGCCUGUUCGAGCGUCAUAUUAACCACUCCCGCUUGCGGGGUCUUGGGCUUCGCCUCCGGGCGGGCCUUAAAAUCAGUGGCGGUGCCGUCGGGCUCUACGCGUAGUAAAUUUUCUCGCGAUAGGGUCCCGGUGGAUGCUUGCCAACAACCCCCAACUUCUUAAGGUUGACCUCGGAUCAGGUAGGGAUACCCGCUGAACUUAAGCAUAUCAAUAAGCGGAGG